CCUACGGGAGGCAGCAGUGGGGAAUAUUGGACAAUGGGGGCAACCCUGAUCCAGCCAUGCCGCGUGUGUGAAGAAGGCCCUCGGGUUGUAAAGCACUUUCAGUGAGGAAGAACGCCUGGUGGUUAAUACCCAUCAGGAAAGACAUCACUCACAGAAGAAGCACCGGCUAACUCCGUGCCAGCAGCCGCGGUAAUACGGAGGGUGCGAGCGUUAAUCGGAAUUACUGGGCGUAAAGCGCGCGUAGGUGGCUUGAAAAGCCGGUUGUGAAAGCCCCGGGCUCAACCUGGGAACGGCAUCCGGAACUGUCAAGCUAGAGUGCAGGAGAGGAAGGUAGAAUUCCCGGUGUAGCGGUGAAAUGCGUAGAGAUCGGGAGGAAUACCAGUGGCGAAGGCGGCCUUCUGGACUGACACUGACACUGAGGUGCGAAAGCGUGGGUAGCAAACAGGAUUAGAUACCCCUGUAGUC
rnacentral:rRNA from 1 species